rnacentral:rRNA from 1 species
AGUGGAUGGGGAGCAACCUAGUUGUGCGUGUGUAAAGGUAGUGCCAAGAAAAGCGAUGAUCAUGUUGAAAAUCAAUUCCCGGUACCCGAAACCGACACAGGUGGGCAAGUAGAGAAUACUAAGGGGCGCGAGGUAACUCUCUCCAAGGAACUCGGCAAAAUGACCCCGUAACUUAGGGAGAAGGGGUGCCACCGAGAGGUGGUCGCAGUGAAGAGGCCCAGGCGACUGUUUAGCAAAAACAUAGGUCUCUGCAAACUCGAAAGAGGAGGUAUAGGGGCUGACGCCUGCCCAGUGCCGGAAGGUUAAAGAAGUUGGUCAGUCUUAGGAUGAAGCUAGCGACUGAAGCCCCGGUGAACGGCGGCCGUAACUAUAACGGUCCUAGGUAGCGAAAUUCCUUGUCGGGUAAGUUCCGACCCGCACGAAAGGCGUAACGAUCUGGGCGCUGUCUCGGAGAGAGGCUCGGCGAAAUAGGAUUGUCUGUGAAGAUACGGACUACCUGCAUUUGGACAGAAAGACCCUAUGAAGCUUUACUAUAGCUUGGAAUUGUGUUCGGGCUUCCUGUGCGCAGGAUAGGUGGGAGGCGUAGAAGGUAUUCUUGUGGGGAUACUGGAGCCAACGGUGAGAUACCACUCUCAGGAGGCUAGAAUUCUAACUUAAUUAAGGACAGUUUCAGGUGGGUAGUUUGACUGGGGCGGUCGCCUCCAAAAAGGUAACGGAGGCGUACAAAGGUUCCCUCAGACUGGUUGGAAAUCAGUCGAAGAGUGCAAAGGCAGAAGGGAGCUUGACUGCGAGAAGUACAGUUCGAGCAGGGUGGAAACACGGUCUUAGUGAUCCGACGGUGCUGUGUGGAAGGGCCGUCGCUCAACGGAUAAAAGUUACUCUAAGGAUAACAGGCUGAUCUCCCCCAAGAGUUCACAUCGACGGGGAGGUUUGGCACCUCGAUGUCGGCUCAUCGCAACCUGGGGCGGAAGUACGUCCCAAGGGUUGGGCUGUUCGCCCAUUAAAGCGGUACGUGAGCUGGGUUCAGAACGUCGUGAGACAGUUCGGUCCGUAUCCGAUGUAGGCGUGAGAAUAUUGAGAGGAGCCUUCCUUAGUACGAGAGGACCGGGAAGGACGCACCGCUGGUGUACCUGUUAUGAUGCCAAUUGUAAACGCAGGGUAGCCAAGUGCGGAGAGGAUAACCGCUGAAAGCAUCUAAGUGGGAAGCCCACCUCAAGAUGAGUAUUCUGGUGUAAGGUCACGGGAAGACGACCCGUAAAUAGGCACGAGGUGGAAGUGCAGAGAUGUAUGAAGCCGAAGUGUACUAAUAGACCGUCGGCUUGACC